AGGAAAGUGUGAGAGAUAGACACUCAACUGCUUGGAGGAAAAAAGUCACCGAGGCGUUUUAUUGGAGAGAAAAUGCAAUUGAAGAUCACCUUGUAUCCACUCACUCACCUUACAGUCAUCUGUUUUCUGACUCAGCUAGAGAAAGAAAAAUAUAUUUUAAAAGAGUUGUACUGCCCGGGGUGACGUGUCAAGAGUUAGAAGGAAGGAGAAAAGCUCUGCUCCCUCGGAGAAUGACGGCCAAGACUGUGAUGAACAGAACUGGGCUGGAGGCCCUAUUUUAAAGAUGAAGAGGCCAAGACAUGGAGAAGUUAAAUGCCGUGCGAUAUCCCACAUCUGAAAGGUGGAGAGCUGGGAACUGGAGCCAGGAGGCCAAUGACUACACUUGUGGUUGAUCAGACCUACCUCUGAGGUC